rnacentral:rRNA from 1 species
UAACGAAUCUUCCCCAAUGCACGAAAGUGUGAGGGAGCGACGCCGCGUGGAGGAUGAAGUCCUUCGGGAUGUAAACUCCUGUCAGGGGUUAGAAAGUUCUGAUCAACCCCAGAGGAAGUGGCGGCUAACUCUGUGCCAGCAGCCGCGGUAAGACAGAGGCCACAAACGUUAGGCGGAAUCACUGGCCUUAAAGCGUGUGUAGGCGGGCCGUUAAGUGCUUUGUGAAAUCCCCCGGCUCAACCGGGGAAUGGCUGGGCAGACUGGCGGUCGUGAGCGGCCUAGGGGUCACUGGAAAAAACGGUGGGGGGGUGAAAUGCGUAGAAAUCGGGUGGAACGCCCAAGGUGAAAAGAGGUGACUGGGGGCAAGCUGACGGUGAGACACGAAAGCCAGGGGAGCAAACG